ACGAGAGUAACUGCUCAUUCGGAUAAUUGGUAUUUGCAGCUGUCCGAUCGGGCAAUGCUGCGAAGCUAUCAUCCGCUAGAUUAUGGCUGAACGCCUCUAAGUCAGAAUCUGUGCCAGAAACGAUGAUGUUGGUCCCGCACAUGUUAGAUGUGUUACAAUAGAGCUUGCU
rnacentral:rRNA from 1 species